rnacentral:rRNA from 1 species
AUUGAACGCUGGCGGCAUGCCUUACACAUGCAAGUCGAACGGCAGCACGGGAGCAAUCCUGGUGGCGAGUGGCGAACGGGUGAGUAAUACAUCGGAACGUGCCCAGUAGUGGGGGAUAGCUGCUCGAAAGAGCAGCUAAUACCGCAUACGACCUGAGGGUGAAAGGGGGGGAUCGCAAGACCUCUCGCUAUCGGAGCGGCCGAUGUCGGAUUAGCUAGUUGGUGGGGUAAAGGCCCACCAAGGCAACGAUCCGUAGCUGGUCUGAGAGGACGACCAGCCACACUGGGACUGAGACACGGCCCAGACUCCUACGGGAGGCAGCAGUGGGGAAUUUUGGACAAUGGACGCAAGUCUGAUCCAGCAAUGCCGCGUGCGGGAAGAAGGCCUUCGGGUUGUAAACCGCUUUUGUUAGGGAAGAAAUCCUCUGGGCUAAUACCUUGGGGGGAUGACGGUACCUGAAGAAUAAGCACCGGCUAACUACGUGCCAGCAGCCGCGGUAAUAC